AAUUCCUUUUUAUGCUAUAAUUCACCUAAAUAUGAACUGUUUGAGUAAGGUUUUUACUUUUGGAAAGCUGAGAAAACAAGGAAAUAGAAAGCUUUUAUUCCCUUCUAAAAGUAAAACUUCUAAUCCAUUUUGGAGAUUGUCUUAAUUUCCUAUUCAAUGAAUUGUUCUAACACUUAUUGUACUAACACUCAAUUAAAUUAACAAGUGUUAAUUGUAUCUUAACAGUAGCAAAUUCUAAUAGAUUGAAAUUAAUUCAUAAACUGCUUUCCUAUGAUGAGACAAGACUUGAUGUAAGUGUUUCUUUCCACUUACUCAUAUGAUAUAAAAACAGAAUCCCUUCUGGACACUUACAUUGUAUAGGGAGAAUGCUUGAGGAAUUGAAUAAAAAAGUGAGUGUUCCUGUAGGAAUUUAUUCAGGUGUGUGUAGAGAAUGUGUGAAAUCAUAGGGAAUAAUUUCUAGCACUACUCCCAUUUUAACAGAAUGGGGAAUGCUGAUUAAAUUACCUAAAAUUCCUGGAGAAUCCCAACAAAACACAGGAUUUUCUUGUCUGGCAAUACAUGCCUCUAUUUAAAAAGGAAAAUAUUGUUGUGUGUGUAUGUUUCAAAAUGCUGCUGUAUGCUUUCACCUUUUUUAGUGAUUUAUUUUUAUCUGGUGUUUCUGAUGACCAGUUUCUCCAUCUUCUUUGGAAACUUACCUACCUUAUCUACCUACCCACAGCCUGGAGAGGACUCCAGGCUCUCUCUUUUAGGACACACCUACACAUACGGCAUCAGCAGAAAGUAUGCCAGGCCUCCGCAUGCAUUAAGCUCCUGUCUCCUUCACUUAGCCUCCACAGCCCAUCACAAUUAGCCUUAAACCCUAGCUAAAUUUUCCCGCAGCCCUGUCAAAUAAGAUGCGAGAAACUCGGGCGGAAGGAGACAAUUAGAGGUAUCCAUAUUUCUUUUUUUUUUUCAAGUCAAAAUCAGUUCUAUUCUUCUAGGUCCUCUGAAAAGAGCUAGCACCAGAAGCAGGGUAGCCACUCUAUACCCCCAUAAAA